GGGCUAAGUGAUGCAAGAUGGGAUGAAGAUGGAGAGCCCUUGGUGGGUAAAGAACAGGUAAUGCUGGUUUCUCAAAAGAGAAGCCCCGGAAACUUUGCCCAUCUGGUGGAGAUCUCCUGGAAGAAAGAACAAAACUGAAGAACAUUUCUGCAGAAAAAGUAUUGAAACAAUAAAAGCACUACCAGAUGAGUGUGAAUACACAUGUACCCAGCAGACAGAAGAUUUUUCCUUAGCAGCAGCUUCAGGAUCAGUCUGAGCUUCCCCUGGAGUCAUGCCUUCACGGAGUCUAGUACCAAGCCCUACUGACCCAUCACCCGCUCAAUUCCUUCUUGCUGGCUACUCCAACAUAAGGGAAGAAAGCUCUAAAGAAUUCUUCGACCAUCAACAGAAAUUCUCAACCAGGGUCACAAGAGGGUCUUCCAGGAAUACAUGGAAUUCAUCUGGAUCAACGUCUCCCAAUAUAAGAGGUCAUGACCCCAAGGGGGUUUCAGGAUGGGCUUGGGAGGGGUCGCAAGUGCAGCACCAGUGUUUGGGAGUGGCAAACAGGACAAUCCCUGAGGACCCCAAGAAACUAUGCAACAUGCUUCAGCUCCAAUCUCCAGGCAAUAGAGGUUCAGAUUUCAGACUCCUAAAAGGGGUACAAUAGUUGUGAAAGCUUGAGAACCACUGCAUUAGAGAAUUUACAGCAACGCAGCUUCACUAAUACAGAGCUCUUUCUCCCACAGAGCAUGGUCUAAUCGAGCACUUAAAUCAACGUAAGUUAUAUUACUUGGGGGUUGGCUUUUCACAUCCUUAGGCAACAUAAUUUAUGUUGAAUUAAUAUACUAAUAGUAUAGUCAGAGCUUGUGAGGUCUGAAAGCUUGUACCUUCCACCAACAUAAAUUGGUGGAAUAAAAUCAGGAGAACUUGAUAAUAUAAAUCUGUUGCUAGUUUUCUACAGUUGUUAGCUUCUGAAACAAAAGGACAGUUGAAAUGUAUUGCCAGAAUUGUUAUACAAUAAUAAGUUUUCUAAAGUAUGUUGGGAACCAUAAAACUCCUACAAGUGGUAUUGGUGUUACUAGAGGGAAGUGUUAGACGUGUCAACAACGCAGAAAAAGCAGAAGUGUUCAAGAAAUAUAUUUAUUGUAUAUUUGGGGAAAAGUGUCACAUCAUCAUAAUGAAACGUUUUCCAUUCCAACAUUAACUCAGGAAGCUGUUCACAGCAGCUACUAAAGUUUUUAAAAAUCAUCAGGUCCAGAUAACUUGGAUCCAAGAGCUAGCUAAGAAGCUCUCUGGGUUGUUGAUAAAAACCACAGCACUAAGUUUGAAAGCCCGGGUCAGCUUAUUUGGGCUAGGGCUAUAGAAACGCAGCAGAGCUAUUUGGCGUUUGGCUGAAACCUGGGCUCUGACACCCUCUCCCCCUGUGCAGUCUCACAGCCCAGACUCCAGGCUGGGCCCAAACUUCUAUGAAACAAUUCUACAAACCACAGCCCAUGCUAGGAAUAAUCAGCUUCUAUGAUGAGGUAACUGGCUCUGUGGACGUG